rnacentral:rRNA from 1 species
GUGUCAGCAGCCGCGGUAAGACGUAGGGUCCAAGCGUUGUCCGGAUUUACUGGGCGUAAAGCGUGCGUAGGCGGUGACUUAAGCCUGUUGUGAAAUCCCGGAGCUCAACUCCGGAACUGCCUUUGAUACUGGUCGUCUAGAGAUCGGAAGAGGUGAGUGGAAUUCCCAGUGUAGAGGUGAAAUUCGUAGAUAUUGGGAAGAACACCAGUGGCGAAGGCGGCUCACUGGUCCGAUACUGACGCUGAGGUGCGAAAGCGUGGGGAGCAAACAGGAUUAGAUACCCCCGUAGUCC